UUUGUUGUUUUACACCUACCUAGUUUUGACCCAAUUUUUGUAUUUUGCCUCAGCCUGACCCCUUUGGACUGUUGCCUGCCUGGAUUUUUACAUCUUUAUUAAGUAAAGACUCCUUACUUUAAGGUUCCUUUGUCUCUGAAUUGUAACGGAGGCAAAGGAAGAGUAAUAAUUCAAAAAUAAAAAUUGCAUUAACAACACAGUUUGAGAAGCUGGAGAGUCAUUUUAAGUCUCGAGUUGAUGGAGAGCCGACCCAUUCUGCAACAGUUGGCAACUGCUCUGGAGUUUCUGAAGAGCAUACGAUUCCUUAAUGCAGCUCUUAAGCCUGAUAACUUCAUGAUGGUGGACCAUUAACGGCAGCCAUUGAGAGUUAAAGUCAUCGACUUUGGCUUAGCGUGCAACAAUUCUGAGCUAUGGACAGGUGCCACUCUUCCAGAUGGUACAGGUCCCAUGGUGGUCCACCGGAAGGGGAGGGACUUCCCCUCUAUAGACACUUCCUCAGUUUUAAACCUGUCGGCAUGCGGGCGUGACGCUGAUGUGACGUUUGCGGUCAAGACGGCGCAUAUUAGGCACUGCAUUGUUCCCUGGCUGUGAUGAAUAUGAUGGGGUCUCGUAAACUCCCAGGAGAAGAUGCAAGUGCUGAUGAAUGUAACCGGGCGAGCUUUGUCGACAGCUACUGGCCGUGGUUUGGGAAGAAUUACGCCAAGCCAAAUUCCUCAGCAUCCAUUCAUUACAAA